UAAGCCUGUGAAGGUGUGUCGUGAGGCAUGCUGGAGGUAUCAGAAGUGCGAAUGCUGACAUAAGUAACGAUAAAGCGGGUGAAAAGCCCGCUCGCCGGAAGACCAAGGGUUCCUGUCCAACGUUAAUCGGGGCAGGGUGAGUCGACCCCUAAGGCGAGGCCGAAAGGCGUAGUCGAUGGGAAACGGGUUAAUAUUCCCGUACUUGGUGUUACUGCGAAGGGGGGACGGAGAAGGCUAUGUUGGCCGGGCGACGGUUGUCCCGGUUUAAGCGUGUAGGUGUGUGUUCCAGGUAAAUCCGGUUCACUUUAACACUGAGGCGUGACGACGAGGCACUACGGUGCUGAAGCAACAAAUGCCCUGCUUCCAGGAAAAGCCUCUAAGCAUCAGGUAACAUCAAAUCGUACCCCAAACCGACACAGGUGGUCAGGUAGAGAAUACCAAGGCGCUUGAGAGAACUCGGGUGAAGGAACUAGGCAAAAUGGUGCCGUAACUUCGGGAGAAGGCACGCUGACACGUAGGUGAAGUGAUUUACUCAUGGAGCUGAAGUCAGUCGAAGAUACCAGCUGGCUGCAACUGUUUAUUAAAAACACAGCACUGUGCAAACACGAAAGUGGACGUAUACGGUGUGACGCCUGCCCGGUGCCGGAAGGUUAAUUGAUGGGGUCAGCGCAAGCGAAGCUCCUGAUCGAAGCCCCGGUAAACGGCGGCCGUAACUAUAACGGUCCUAAGGUAGCGAAAUUCCUUGUCGGGUAAGUUCCGACCUGCACGAAUGGCGUAAUGAUGGCCAGGCUGUCUCCACCCGAGACUCAGUGAAAUUGAACUCGCUGUGAAGAUGCAGUGUACCCGCGGCAAGACGGAAAGACCCCGUGAACCUUUACUAUAGCUUGACACUGAACAUUGAGCCUUGAUGUGUAGGAUAGGUGGGAGGCUUUGAAGUGUGGACGCCAGUCUGCAUGGAGCCGACCUUGAAAUACCACCCUUUAAUGUUUGAUGUUCUAACGUGGACCCGUGAUCCGGGUUGCGGACAGUGUCUGGUGGGUAGUUUGACUGGGGCGGUCUCCUCCUAAAGAGUAACGGAGGAGCACGAAGGUUGGCUAAUCCUGGUCGGACAUCAGGAGGUUAG
rnacentral:rRNA from 1 species